GACGAACGCUGGCGGCGUGCUUAACGCAUGCAAGUCGAACGGAAAGGCCUCUUUCGGGGGGUACUCGAGUGGCGAACGGGUGAGUAACACGUGAGUAACCUGCCCUUGACUUUGGGAUAACUUCAGGAAACUGGGGCUAAUACCGGAUAGGAGCUCCUGCUGCAUGGUGGGGGUUGGAAAGUUUCGGCGGUUGGGGAUGGACUCGCGGCUUAUCAGCUUGUUGGUGGGGUAGUGGCUUACCAAGGCUUUGACGGGUAGCCGGACUGAGGGGGUGACCGGCCACAUUGGGACUGAGAUACGGCACAGACUCCUACGGGAGGCAGCAGUGGGGAAUAUUGCACAAUGGGUGGAAGCCUGAUGCAGCAACGCCGUGUGCGGGAUGACGGCCUUCGGGUUGUAAACCGCUUUCGCUCAUGACGAAGCUUUGUGUGACGGUAGUGGGUAAAGAAGCACCGGCUAACUACGUG
rnacentral:rRNA from 1 species